AUGGAAUCCAAGCAGUUUGAGCGGAGCAAAUGGGAACCGCCUAAAGAAGGGUGGUGGAAACUGAAUACAGAUGCUUCCUUUCUAAUUAAAACGGGUGAUACAACGGCUGGCUCCAUCAUCAGAACACACCAAGGUGUGGUGGCUUUGGCUUGUGGUCAACGCCUGCAGGCAUGUAAGGGCCCGGGAGAAGCAGAAUUAUCAGCUGUUUUAUACGGGCUCUCUACCCUGAGUAGGUACUAUAGGGGGCUGGUGUGCGUGGAAUCAGACUGUGCAUCAAUCAUCACAACCCUGAACAAUAGGGCGACAAACCACUCGGCGCUUUUUCCCCUAGUUACAGAUAUCUGGCACCUCGGGGAGUUGUUCAAGGAGGUGUCGUUCAGGGCCACGAGAAGAUCCAGCAACAAGAUGGCGCACGAGCUCGCUGCUCUUGGGAGGAAACAAGGAGACUGCUUGCUAGGAGACGUAAUUGUUCUACUUCCUUGUUCGUUGUAUAAAUUGUGGCUGGGUUGA
rnacentral:rRNA from 1 species